rnacentral:rRNA from 1 species
ACCCGCUGAACUUAAGCAUAUCAAUGAGCGGAGGAAAAGAAACCAACAGGGAUUGCCCUAGUAACGGCGAGUGAAGCGGCAACAGCUCAAAUUUGAAAUCUGGCGUCUUUGGCGUCCGAGUUGUAAUUUGCAGAGGGCGCUUUGGCAUUGGCAGCGGUCCAAGUUCCUUGGAACAGGACGUCACAGAGGGUGAGAAUCCCGUACGUGGUCGCUAGCCUUUACCGUGUAAAGCCCCUUCGACGAGUCGAGUUGUUUGGGAAUGCAGCUCUAAAUGGGAGGUAAAUUUCUUCUAAAGCUAAAUACUGGCCAGAGACCGAUAGCGCACAAGUAGAGUGAUCGAAAGGUGAAAAGCACUUUGGAAAGAGAGUUAAAAAGCACGUGAAAUUGUUGAAAGGGAAGCGCUUGCAGCCAGACUUGCCUGUAGUUGCUCAUCCGGGUUUUUACCCGGUGCACUCUUCUAUAGGCAGGCCAGCAUCAGUUUGGGCGGUUGGAUAAAGGUCUCUGUCAUGUACCUCUCUUCGGGGAGAACUUAUAGGGGAGACGACAUGCAACCAGCCCGGACUGAGGUCCGCGCAUCUGCUAGGAUGCUGGCGUAAUGGCUGU